AACCAGUACCGUGAGGGAAAGGUGAAAAGCACCCCGGAAGGGGAGUGAAAGAGAUCCUGAAACCGUGUGCCUACAAAUAGUCAGAGCCCGUUAAUGGGUGAUGGCGUGCCUUUUGUAGAAUGAACCGGCGAGUUACGAUCCCGUGCAAGGUUAAGCUGAAGAGGCGGAGCCGCAGCGAAAGCGAGUCUGAAUAGGGCGUUUAGUACGUGGUCGUAGACCCGAAACCAGGUGAUCUACCCAUGUCCAGGGUGAAGUUCAGGUAACACUGAAUGGAGGCCCGAACCCACGCACGUUGAAAAGUGCGGGGAUGAGGUGUGGGUAGCGGAGAAAUUCCAAUCGAACCUGGAGAUAGCUGGUUCUCCCCGAAAUAGCUUUAGGGCUAGCCUUAAGUGUAAGAGUCUUGGAGGUAGAGCACUGAUUGAACUAGGGGUCCUCAUCGGAUUACCGAAUUCAGUCAAACUCCGAAUGCCAAUGACUUAUCCUUAGGAGUCAGACUGCGAGUGAUAAGAUCCGUAGUCAAGAGGGAAACAGCCCAGAUCGCCAGCUAAGGUCCCAAAGUGUGUAUUAAGUGGAAAAGGAUGUGGAGUUGCUUAGACAACUAGGAUGUUGGCUCAGAAGCAGCCACCAUUUAAAGAGUGCGUAAUAGCUCACUAGUCGAGUGACUCUGCGCCGAAAAUGUACCGGGGCUAAAUACACCACCGAAGCUGCGAAUUGAUACCAAUGGUAUCAGUGGUAGGGGAGCGUUCUAAGUGCAGUGAAGUCAGACCGGAAGGACUGGUGGAGCGCUUAGAAGUGAGAAUGCCGGUAUGAGUAGCGAAAGACGGGUGAGAAUCCCGUCCACCGAAUGCCUAAGGUUUCCUGAGGAAGGCUCGUCCGCUCAGGGUUAGUCAGGACCUAAGCCGAGGCCGACAGGCGUAGGCGAUGGACAACAGGUUGAUAUUCCUGUACCACCUCUUUAUCGUUUGAGCAAUGGAGGGACGCAGAAGGAUAGAAGAAGCGUGCGAUUGGUUGUGCACGUCCAAGCAAUUAGGCUGAUAAGUAGGCAAAUCCGCUUAUCGUGAAGGCUGAGCUGUGAUGGGGAAGCUCCUUAUGGAGCGAAGUCUUUGAUUCCCCGCUGCCAAGAAAAGCUUCUAGCGAGAUAAAAGGUGCCUGUACCGCAAACCGACACAGGUAGGCGAGGAGAGAAUCCUAAGGUGUGCGAGAGAACUCUGGUUAAGGAACUCGGCAAAAUGACCCCGUAACUUCGGGAGAAGGGGUGCUUUCUUAACGGAAAGCCGCAGUGAAUAGGCCCAAGCGACUGUUUAGCAAAAACACAGGUCUCUGCGAAGCCGUAAGGCGAAGUAUAGGGGCUGACACCUGCCCGGUGCUGGAAGGUUAAGGAGAGGGGUUAGCGUAAGCGAAGCUCUGAACUGAAGCCCCAGUAAACGGCGGCCGUAACUAUAACGGUCCUAAGGUAGCGAAAUUCCUUGUCGGGUAAGUUCCGACCCGCACGAAAGGUGUAACGAUUUGGGCACUGUCUCAACCAGAGACUCGGUGAAAUUAUAGUACCUGUGAAGAUGCAGGUUACCCGCGACAGGACGGAAAGACCCCGUGGAGCUUUACUGUAGCCUGAUAUUGAAUUUUGGUACAGUUUGUACAGGAUAGGCGGGAGCCAUUGAAACCGGAGCGCUAGCUUCGGUGGAGGCGCUGGUGGGAUACCGCCCUGACUGUAUUGAAAUUCUAACCUACGGGUCUUAUCGACCCGGGAGACAGUGUCAGGUGGGCAGUUUGACUGGGGCGGUCGCCUCCUAAAGUGUAACGGAGGCGCCCAAAGGUUCCCUCAGAAUGGUUGGAAAUCAUUCGUAGAGUGCAAAGGCAUAAGGGAGCUUGACUGCGAGACCUACAAGUCGAGCAGGGACGAAAGUCGGGCUUAGUGAUCCGGUGGUUCCGCAUGGAAGGGCCAUCGCUCAACGGAUAAAAGCUACCCCGGGGAUAACAGGCUUAUCUCCCCCAAGAGUCCACAUCGACGGGGAGGUUUGGCACCUCGAUGUCGGCUCAUCGCAUCCUGGGGCUGUAGUCGGUCCCAAGGGUUGGGCUGUUCGCCCAUUAAAGCGGUACGCGAGCUGGGUUCAGAACGUCGUGAGACAGUUCGGUCCCUAUCCGUCGUGGGCGCAGGAAAUUUGAGAGGAGCUGUCCUUAGUACGAGAGGACCGGGAUGGACGCACCGCUGGUGUACCAGUUGUUCUGCCAAGGGCAUAGCUGGGUAGCUAUGUGCGGAAGGGAUAAGUGCUGAAAGCAUCUAAGCAUGAAGCCCCCCUCAAGAUGAGAUUUCCCAUAGCGUAAGCUAGUAAGAUCCCUGAAAGAUGAUCAGGUUGAUAGGUUCGAGGUGGAAGCAUGGUGACAUGUGGAGCUGACGAAUACUAAUAGAUCGAGGACUUAACCAU
rnacentral:rRNA from 1 species